ACCAGGAUGGCCGAGAGGUUAAGGCGUUGGACUUAAGAUCCAAUGGACAUAUGUCCUCGUGGGUUGGUAUAAUUUCAUCUAUCCCCACUCCUGGUA